AAGUUUGGAUCUGGUAAAACGAUCGCGCGUUAUCAAUAAUUUGUAUAUUUCCCUAUGAAAAACUGAGAAUUGCAUAUUGUCUACACGUAUUUACCAAGAGGAUUUUAUCAAUUAUGUUCUCAAUUGGAAUUAUAUUGUUGUGACAUAUUGCCAUGGGAAAAAGAGUGAAGGAUCUGUGGUGCACUGGUGCGUGCACACUAAUAUAUGGACUUGAUCCGAUAACACUUUAUAUCUGAAAGCUAAAAGUGAUCGGCGAGCCCAUGUACGAAUAGUGGUCACGCCUUGCGGCAUUGUUAGCUGUGUAGAUCACCCAAGGUCAGACUCAUUUGGAAAACUAGUGGUGGUUGGCUAUUUGCACCACACCGAGGCAUUAGUUUGGAACUUGAAGUGCCACAGGACAUGCAAACCUCAUUGUGAUAGGGUUAUGGGUACAUAUAGGCUAUCUGGAGAAUGGUUAUGGACAGUGAAUAAAUUAUGAAUAUUAUAUUUUAUAUUCCAUUAACAUGA